rnacentral:rRNA from 1 species
AAGACCUUGCGCUUAAGGAGCGGCCGAUGUCUGAUUAGCUAGUUGGUGGGGUAAAGGCCUACCAAGGCGACGAUCAGUAGUUGGUCUGAGAGGACGACCAACCACACUGGGACUGAGACACGGCCCAGACUCCUACGGGAGGCAGCAGUGGGGAAUUUUGGACAAUGGGCGCAAGCCUGAUCCAGCCAUGCCGCGUGAGUGAAGAAGGCCUUCGGGUUGUAAAGCUCUUUCAGUUGGGAAGAAACGAUUGCAACUAAUAAUUGUAAUUAAUGACGGUACCGACAGAAGAAGCACCGGUAACUACGUGCCAGCAGCCGCGGUAAUACGUAGGGUGCGAGCGUUAAUCGGAAUUACUGGGCGUAAAGGGUGCGCAGCGGUU